UGUGUAAUGCAUGACUGUCUUUUUCAAGUGAACAAAGGUCGCUUUGUAUUGUGUAAAUGGUUUUGCAACGUAUGAUAAACUCCUUGUCUUUCGGGCUUAUUUUUUCUGACAGGAAAAAAAAAAAAAAAGAGGCUUUACAUGAGAACGGAUCAAGCGUUCGAGAGUUGGGACAGGGAAAUGAAACACUGGAACGACACUGCUUAAAUUGAAGCACAGUGUGCGAAUGACCUGCUACGCUCGGAACUGUUAUCACCAUUCGGGAAGAAAUUGGGUAAGAAUGGAUUGUGUGUGGCGCGCUUCACCGCAUGUGGACUAGAGUAGAUCUAGGAACAUCAGACAAGAAGACACGUAUGUGAAACCCUGCGGAUAGCCCAUAUGUGAACUUUUUUUCCAGAUACGGAGGAACGGACACCGGUCGUGCCGUGAGCACUAUUCUGCAGGGCAUACUUACAAAUGAAGCUGCACUGCAGUUCAGCUGGAAAGGGUCGCAGGGGAGGAAGCACGCCUUCGUGAAGCUCAUGGCCAUCACGAAUAUAGGUAAGAAAUAUGGCAUA
rnacentral:lncRNA from 1 species